UACUCGAUAAUUUUUCAAAAAAGUCGAUGGUUAAUAAUAUCUACUCAGUCGAAAAAUCACUCGGUUGUUUUUCAAACUAUCGAAUGACAAUCGAUUGUAGAAACUAUUCGGUAAUGCCCAUCACGAGUGCUUACACUAAAACCGAAAUACACAGAUGUAGUGCAGUCUUUUAUGUUUCUUCAUUUUAUCCCGGGUGAAGUUGGGUUAUACAGCUAGUAUAUAUAAUUAUAUAAUAUGUAUAUUAUAUAUUCACACAUAAUAUUUGAAUUAAAACUUACGAGGUAUUUUUAAUUUACUAGAAAAUUGCAUAAUAAAAAAUAAGGCUAAAGUGUGUGCCAACCGAGCAAUGGUAGCAUUAACACUAAGUGACUUUCCCGAUGGUGUUGCAAAAAUAUACUUUGAGAUUCUCAUGACAAACAUUAUACAAAAUAAUGCUAUGAACACUGACGAAUUUUGUGAAAAUCGUUUUAAGAAAC